ACUGUAAACACAGCCUAGAAAGAGGGGCCAUCUCUUGAUACUGGACAGUCUGAGUGGAUGGCGCGGCAAGGCAGAGAGGCCUUUUAACAAAUGGGCGCUGAGAUUUGCGACUGAAUAUGGCGUGGGGCCGCCAGCACGUUCUCCCCAGCUCCCUGCAGUUCCCGCGGCUCAUACUGCAUUGUAGAUGUGUGGGACUCGGUUCGGGGAUUGAACAGGAAGGUGAUGAGCCCUAAAUGCAGCAUCCGUCCCGUUGCAGGAAACGCGUGGCCCACGAGGAGACGGGAGAAAACUGGAAGCUGGAGAAAAAGAAGAGGAACCGAAAGCUGCAGGCUGAGGAGAUGGCUCCACAGAUAAAGGUGCUUGCGGCCAAGCCUCAGGCCCAGAGUUCAAUCCCGAGGAUUCACAUGAGAGAAGAGAGAACCAGCCCCCACAGUGUUCUCUGACCUUCACACCAACAUUGUGGCACGUGCACACCCACAUAUAUACUUAAAUGUACGUCUACCCACAAAAUAAUCAAUAACAGAACCAAUGCUGUAAAUAUGCCUCGGACUCGGAUCCAAACCAGAGACUUGUGCUGGCUAGUUUUUAUGUCAACUUGACACAAGCUAGAGCCAUUUUGGAAGAUGGGAUCUCUAUUUUGAAAACACCUCCACCAGAUUGGCCUAUAGUACAGUUCUUGACUGAUGAUUAAUGUGAGAGAUCCCGCCCAGCCCAUUGUGAGUGGAACCAUUCCUGACCUGGUAUUCCUUUCUUAUAGUCCAGGGUGCUAUAAGAAAGCUGACUGAGAAAGCCCAUGAGGAGGAGGUCCGUCAGUCAGCAGCACCCUCCACGGCCUUUACGUGAGUUUUUGGUCCCAGGUUUCUGCCUUGAGUCCCUGCUCUGACCUCCUUUGAUGGUGGACUGUCUGUCAUGUAUAAGCAGAAGCCAAAACAAAUAUUCUUUUUCCCUUGUUGAUUUCAGCCAUCCCGUUUUAUCAUAGCUUUACAAAUCUCAACUACGACAAGAACCUGCCCUACUAUGCACCUGCAGUUUCUGGCUAUGAGUGGAAAGAAAGGAUUUUAACCUUAGCAUAGGGUGGACGCCUUAGAUGGCCUCAACCCCUGCACUCCCUGCACAGGGCUGUGAAUACAAGAUGGGUGACAGGUUGCAGCCAUACGCAGGACCAGCAUCUCCUUGAGAUCCCUUUGUCUGACAUAUUGCCCCUGUGUCUCUUCUGAGAUUCGGCAUGGAGGAACAGCUGUGGGUCUGUCCACCUGGGGAGUGAAGGGCAUGGCUAGUGUCAAUCCCACUGCAAGCAAGGAAGUGCUCCCACUCGAUCCUGAAGCAAGGGAUGCUCCUAUUCGAUUCUAUAGCAAGAAACUCCUUCCAUUGGAUCCCCAAACAAGUGGGAGGAUCCUACUUAGAGCCGUGUGCCCGAAGCUGGAGUUCUGUCCCUGCUUCCCCCACUGAUGCAGUCUCCCUCUUCCUUUCUCCUGGGUACCAACACUGUUGAGACAAACACACCAGGCUUAAAGCAGGUAAGCACCCUCCCCUGUUGUUCCCCGUGAGAUGCCCCAUGUCUGGGCCAAGGAUAAUGAGUAUGAU
rnacentral:lncRNA from 1 species